rnacentral:rRNA from 2 species
AACCGGGAUUGCCUCAGUAACGGCGAGUGAAGCGGCAAGAGCUCAAAUUUGAAAGCUGGCCCCUCCGGGGUCCGCAUUGUAAUUUGCAGAGGAUGCUUCGGGCUCAGCCCCCGUCUAAGUGCCCUGGAACGGGCCGUCGGAGAGGGUGAGAAUCCCGUCUGGGACGGGGUGCCUGGGUCCAUGUGAAGCUCCUUCGACGAGUCGAGUUGUUUGGGAAUGCAGCUCUAAAUGGGUGGUAAAUUUCAUCUAAAGCUAAAUACUGGCCGGAGACCGAUAGCGCACAAGUAGAGUGAUCGAAAGAUGAAAAGCACUUUGAAAAGAGAGUUAAACAGCACGUGAAAUUGUUGAAAGGGAAGCGCUUGCGAUCAGACUCGCCUGCGGGGUUCAGCCGGCAUUCGUGCCGGUGUACUUCCCCGUGGGCGGGCCAGCGUCGGUUCGGGUGGCCGGUCAAAGGCCCCGGGAAUGUGUCGCCCUCCGGGGCGUCUUAUAGCCCGGGGUGCCAUGCGGCCUACCUGGACCGAGGAACGCGCUUCGGCUCGGACGCUGGCGUAAUGGUCGUAAGCGACCCGUCUUGAAACACGGACCAAGGAGUCUAACAUCUACGCGAGUGUUUGGGUGGCAAACCCAUACGCGCAGUGAAAGCGAACGGAGGUGGGAACCCUUCGGGGCGCACCAUCGACCGAUCCUGAUGUCUUCGGAUGGAUUUGAGUAAGAGCGUAGCUGUGGGGACCCGAAAGAUGGUGAACUAUGCCUGAAUAGGGCGAAGCCAGAGGAAACUCUGGUGGAGGCUCGCAGCGGUUCUGACGUGCAAAUCGAUCGUCAAAUUUGGGUAUAGGGGCGAAAGACUA